rnacentral:lncRNA from 1 species
AAUGUGGUUGAAGCAGUGUAAAUAGUUUGAGUAACAGCUUUACUUUUUUAAUUUUUAUAAUACUCCUGUAUAAAUCCUAAAGGCAAACCAAAUUUUAGACGGUGUGGACUUCGAGUAGAAAGCCUGACACAGUGAUGUGUCUGACAAGACCUCAGGUUGCAGAGAUACAUAAACAUAUGUGGUUUAUUUGUAAAGAAAAUUUCAAACCAUAUGUUAUUUGGAAGUCUUUUUUAAAAAGCAGAGUGGCACUUUGUGAGGUUUUAAUUUAAGAUAUUUUUCUAUUCUAUUUCAUAAAAGGUUAAAAAGUUUGUGUAUAAAUAUUUUUUUUAAUUGUUCAAGAAUCUUAUGACCUGGUGUAGGGCAUUUUGCAAUUCUAACACUAUAGCUUUAAUAUAAAUAACAUUUGUAGAGGUUUUCUUUGUAAUAAAGGCGAGAAUAUUUUGUAAUUUCUAUUAUUUCCUUUAGAACCUGAAUAACCUUAAAUAUAGGCAUGAAAUGUUGUAUUAUGACUUUUAUAUUGUUAAAAUUUAAAAACAAAACUUAUCCAACUUUAUUUCUUUCCCAAGUUAAGUUUGUAGUGUCACACGGGACUGUUAAUCUGCAAAGAGGGUGUAAGCAGGCUAGAGCAGGUUUUUUCUAGGUCAGUUGCGUCUCAGAGAUGAGCAAGGUGAUGAUAGAUGUGUUUAACCUCACUAUGAUGUCCUCACUGAUGCCCCCGAAGGCCGCCAGGAUUGUACUCCACACAAAAUCACUGACAAAGUGUUUGUCCUGUCAGUACGGUGCUGUGGGCAACUGCAGCGCAGGGGACACUGGGGGUUGAGCUUAGCAAGGGAUGGUAUCUGCCUUUACUGACAGACAGAAUAAAGGGACCUACGCGUGGGUACCCAAACCUCUCCAGUGCGAAGGAUUGUUGAUGUUAUUUUUUAUAAUCUCAGUUGAAAUGUAAUUAUUUGGAUUUAUUUAAUCCUAUUAAAUAUAGCUUGUUUUUGGAAGAACCCUCUAAGAACAGUAAGACCAAUAAAAUUGCUGUAAAUGGCGUUUUCAGU